rnacentral:rRNA from 1 species
GCAGGCGGUUUAAUAAGUGAAUAGUGAAACCUGGUGGCUCAACCAUACAGACUAUUAUUCAAACUGUUAAACUCGAGAAUGGUAGAGGUAACNUGGAAUUUCUUGUGUAGGAGUGAAAUCCGUAGAUAUAAGAAGGAACACCGAUGGCGUAGGCAGGUUACNUGGGCCAUUUCUGACGCUAAGGCACGAAAGCGUGGGGAGCGAACCGGAUUAGAUACCCGGGUAGUCCACGCCGUAAACGAUGGAUACUAGCUGUUGGAGGUAUCGACCCCUUCAGUAGCGAAGCUAACGCGUUAAGUAUCCCGCCUGUGGAGUACGGCCGCAAGGCUAAAACAUAAAGGAAUUGACGGGGACCCGCACAAGCGGUGGAUUAUGUUCUUUAAUUCGAUGAUAACCGAAGAACCUUACCAGGGCUUGACAUCCAGGGAAGGUCUGCGAAAGUAGACUGUGCCUUUUGGAACCCUGUGACAGGUGAUGCAUGGCCGUCGUCAGCUCGUGUCGUGAGAUGUUAGGUUAAGUCCUUCAACGAGCGCAACCCUUGUGAAUAGUUGUAUUUUUCUAUUCAGACUGCCCCGGUAACGGGGAGGAAGGANGGGGAUGAUGUCANGUCAGUAUUUCCCUUACGUCCUGGGCUAGAAACGUAAUACAAUGGCUAGUACAAUGCGCAGC